CUUCAUGGCACCUUGGGCAAGAAAUCUAUAUUAUAUACCCACCAUCUUUUUCCGGUUGGGAUUGGAGGGAGCUUGGCUUUUCUUUUGCCUCCAGCCUCUAAUAUUGCAAGACAAAUGCGAUGAUCUUGGCAUCAGUAACAAUGCAUUAUCAUCUAAACGAGAUGAAAUU